ensembl:lncRNA
AGAUAAUUGAUUUUUUAUAAUUCAAGUAUCACUGGGAUGAAGGUUUAGUGAAUUACAUUUCUCACAUUUAUUGCUGAGGUAUUGACUUUUUUUUUUUUACAUCAAUGGUUGAGUUCACUGAACAAUUACACUACUUUAGCAUGCUUUUUAUUAUUAGUUCAAAGGUUCUUUAAAGGAAUAGUUCUUCCAAAUGUGAAAUUUUACUGAACAUCAGGCCAUCAAAGAUCCAAGAUUAGGAUGAGUUUGUUUCUUCAUCAGAUUUGGAGAAAGGUAGCAUUACAUCACUUGCUCUUCAGUGGAUGUGAAUGGGUGCCGUCAGAAUGAGAGUCCAAACAUCUGAUAAAAACAUCACAAUAAUCCACAAGUAAUCCACAGCACUCCAGUCCAUCUUGUGAAGUGAAAAGCUGGGUGUUUGUAAGAAUCAAAUCCAUUGCUUCUAGCCAAAAUACAAGUCUAUAAUCCAUAAUAACGCUUCCUCCAGUAAAAAAGGCCAUCUCCUGUUGUCUCUCACAUCAAAAUCCAGCCACGUAUUUGUUUAGAGCCGUUUUGGCUUGUAAACUGUGCAGAUUUGUCUCCUGAUUCACACCAGAACACUUUUUCACUGGAGGAAGUGUUAUUAUGGAUUAUGGACUCUAUGUAUUUUAGUUAAAAACGUCUUAAUGCUGGAUGUGUUUCAUCUUUUGUCUUCUCCAGAUGUUCACUGAUGGACUGGAGUGCUGUGGAUUACUUGUGGAUUAUUGUGAUGUUUUUAUCAGACUCUCAUUCUGACGGCACCCAUUCACAUCCAUUGGUGAGCAAGUGAUACAAUGCUACAUUACUCCAAAUCUGAUGAAGAAACAAACUCAUCUACAUCUUAGAUGAACUGAAGGUGAAUACAUUUUCAGUGAAUUUGUGAACCAUUACUUUAAUGUCAAAGAUCAUGCAUCCAGUAAAUCAUUUAAAAUUUUAAGGACUUUUUUUUGUUGUUUUUUUGUUUUUUAAUUCUGGGACUGUGUUGGGUCACUUGUCCAAAGUGAAAUCUGUUCUGAAGCAAAACCAGCUGAGAAGCACAGAUUUGCAGAACUGCUGCUCAUCCAGUGCCAUUAG